rnacentral:rRNA from 1 species
CACUUUGAACCGUUCCGUAGGUGAACCUGCGGAAGGAUCAUU